ACACUGGGACGAGGAAACUGAGCUCCGGGCACAGCUCAGCCCGUGGGAAUUGCCCAACUGGGCUGUCGCAAUGGGCUAGGAGGCCAGGGUCGGCCCUGCCGCUGGCUGCCAGGACCAGGCCUCCUGGCCACCCUAAGCGCCUAGAAUCUGGGGACAAUAGCGGCCAAGCAGUUAACAUCUGCUCUGCGAUGGCGGUAAAAAGGAAAGCAAAAUUUCGAUCUAUUUUUCUGGGAAGAGAGUAAGAGAUUUGGGCUGUCCCGGCAGGACCCGAGCUUUGCAACACACCGGUGUUCCUUUAAGUCCAAAAGAGGGCCGAGAAACCAGCUGGCCCACAGUUCACAGAACAUCCCAGCAGGAACCCGUACCCCUGUGGAGACUGCUGAGAAACUGGAGCCUAUCCAGGCCACGGCCACGGCCGGGGAUCAGCCCCAACCUACGGAGCCCAUUAACAGUCGCUACCUGGUAAUUUCUAAAGCACCCGCUGGGUGGGUGCGUGGUCCACGGGGGGCCACAAAAGCCAAGGACACAAGUUCACUGCCUGCAAGGAGCUUGCCCGUGGGAGAUAAAGCUGGUAACGGGCUCGACACCCAGGCAGCCCUUCCGGGAGGCGGAGAUGGGCUCCAGAAAUGAACAGGAUUCAGAGGCUGCAUCCAAGGACGGAGAGACCAAAGUCCUGGUUGCACCAUUUGGCAGCGUGUCGCCUGACCUCCAGGAGCCUGGGUGUCUUUGUCUUUUAAAUGGGAUUCACAGAGACCCUACCUCUUAGGGUUAGCGUGAGGGCAGAGGGAAAUAAGGGGAGUUCCCGUGGUGGCUCAGCAAUAAUGAACUUGGCUAAUAUCCCUAAGGACGAGCGUUCAAUCCUUGGCCUUGCUCAGGGGGUUAAAGAUCUGGUGUUGCUGUGAGUUGUGGUGUGGGUCACAGACAUGGCUUGGAUCCUGUGUUGCUGUAGCUGUGGUGUAGGCUGGACGCCGUAGAUCUGAUUCGACCCCUAGCCUGGGAACUUCCAUAUGCCUUGGGCGUGACCCUAAAAAGGAAAAAAAAAAAAAAAAAAGGAAAUUCAGGAAAACAACAUGAAUGAACCUCAAAGACAUGACCCCAGUUGAAAGAGGGCAGGUGUGCAAAGUGGCACACGGAAUGGUUCUUUUCCUAGGAAGUGGCCAGAGCGUUAAGUAAAUCCCUAGAGAUGAGAAGCAGAUUAGUGGUUGCCAAGGGCCGGGGGAGGGGAAAGGGGUGUCUUUUUGGGGUGAUGACAAUAUGUUGGAACUAGAUAGGGGGUGAUUGCAUGGGAAUAGGUGAAAGGUCACGGGACAGUGCAUUUUAAAACGGUGCAUUUCGGAAUUCCCUGGUGGCCUAGCGAUUAAAAGAGGCAGAGUCCUUCAAUCCCCAGCCUGAGGUCGAGGCCAAAAACAUUAAAAUGAAAUCAAAUGGUUCAUUUUUUGGUAUGUGAAUGUCACCUCAAUUAAAAAAAUGUCUUGAAGGAAAUUUGUUUGCACAAACCUAGUGAAUGGGACACUCGCCAGGGCCAGACCCCAGACACUCUGCCUCCUGUCACCCUCCAGCCUGGGCUGAGUGAGCUGGGUCACCCUCUGUCCAGGCCUGGACACCCUCAGCCUGGCCGGUGGGGCCUAGCGGAGCCCAGACAUGGGGGCAGGGUGGGGGGCUGCCCCACACAGUUCGGGGAGAGGCCAGUGUCCCCAGGCUGCUGGGAGGACCAAGUUACAUCAGAGGUCGUGUGCGAGAUGCGUUACAAAGAGAGAGGGAUGAGCUCCAGGUGCACUGGCUGCACCUGCCAUGGAGCACCUGCCGUGGCGGGACGAGGGGAGCACGAGGGGAUGUGCGCAGCCAGGGAGCCCACAGGGGUCAAGGCAGAGUCCCCGCCUGGCCCAGACCCGGGGACAGUCAGCUCCUCUGCCCACCCCCACCCCCCUCCCUCUCCUGGCCUCCCUGGCUCCCCCUCAGAGUCCCAUCCUAAUCCUGCCAGGAGAGGGAGCCCAGGGCAGUGGGUCUCCGUCCUGUGUCCCCCCUGCAGGCAGCCAGGCCAGAGAGAGAGCUGUCCAGCCCGCAGCCACGGAGGAGGCGCCCGCCACCCAGCUGACAUGGGGGCGGGUCUCAGGCUUUCCCCACUGGGCCACCACUGCCAGGGCAGCCUCCUGGGCUUUGGGCCACCAGGCGGAAAGGAUAAAAAGAGGCCACAUGCCUCCUGCCACGUGGAGGCAUCCACGCACCAGGGGCAACACUGUCACACAGAACUCGGGUGCCAGAGGACCACGUGGGCAUUCAGCAGGGCGAGUUGGCAGGACCGACACCACUGCCUGUUGGGAUCCCAGGACUCGGGGAGGCCAUGCUGCCGAGGGUGCCCUAGCCGGCCCGGCCCAGGCUGGGAGCCACCAGUAUGAGACGCCACUUGACUGGCAAGAAACUCACCUUCCGAGGAACCUGCCAGUCUUCAAACUCAUAAAUGCCCUCCAGAGUUAGUGACCCCUGAACUACGGGCAGAUGUUAAGUGCCCAUAACCCUUUCCGGCUGGUGAUAACCCCGCGGCACUCUUGGCUUUUCUUGCGAUGGGUUUGCUGUUUUCUCCAAGGAGUGGGUUUCAUCAGAUCCGGGUGCCCAAGACCGUGGCAAGGACCCAGCCACGGAAGGAGGGGCUGGACGGCGGCUCACAGUCCCCUUGUGCAGCUCCAGCGCGGGGCAAAAUCCCGCACAGGCCUGCGGUGAGGCCUCGCAAACAAGCAGCAGCAUGAUCCUGCCGGCCAGCUCAGCCCCCAGCCUUGGCCCAGAGCGGCUCUGGCCGCCCCGCCUCUGGCUCCCCUCCUGCAGCCCAUGCCGACCGCCCGCCACCAGAGGCCUUGCCAGCCGCCGAGGCAGCCCCUUGCGUCCCGUCCCCAGAGCCCUCAGCAGCCCUGAAGUCAUUCUGCUCCAGGAUCUGCUCCGUGUUUAUGUCCUGCCUCGGUCUCCGGGGGGCCUGACGUGCUCCCUGCAGCUUGUCCCCAGCACCCAGCCCCCGCGGGAACAAGGACCCGAGACGGAAACGGCAAAAGCGCUGUGAGCAAGACACCUGCCCGCGGAUCCCAGCCCCGCUGCCAGCUAUCUUUCUCCAUCGCUUGGCCGGCCCGAGGAUCUCAAGAAUGGAAAGGGGUUUAGGGGGUCUGGAGACCACCCCACCACCCAAGAAAGGAGCCCGAGGUUAACUCCCACGUUCUCAGGAGAGCCGCCGACGUGUUGAUGCAAGCGCCAAAUAAUCAAAUUGCAGGUGGGGGUGGGGAGGAGAUAAUUGAAUAUCAGCGAGGGGCUGUUGUCAGGUCAGCCAGUUCCUGGCGUGUUCUCGUAUGUAUGUUUUCUGAGAGAGCCCCCAAAUAAAACAGUUCUAUUAUUUUAUGCC
rnacentral:lncRNA from 1 species